rnacentral:rRNA from 1 species
GACGACCUUUGGCGGCGCGCCUAACACAUGCAAGUCGAACGAGCGAGAGAGAGCUUGCUUUCUCGAGCUAGUGGCGAACGGGUGAGUAACGCGUGAGGAACCUGCCUCAAAGAGGGGGACAACAGUUGGAAACGACUGCUAAUACCGCAUAAGCCCACGGCUCGGCAUCGAGCAGAGGGAAAAGGAGCAAUCCGCUUUGAGAUGGCCUCGCGUCCGAUUAGCUAGUUGGUGAGGUAACGGCCCACCAAGGCGACGAUCGGUAGCCGGACUGAGAGGUUGAACGGCCACAUUGGGACUGAGACACGGCCCAGACUCCUACGGGAGGCAGCAGUGGGGAAUAUUGCACAAUGGGGGAAACCCUGAUGCAGCGACGCCGCGUGGAGGAAGAAGGUCUUCGGAUUGUAAACUCCUGUUGUUGGGGAAGAUAAUGACGGUACCCAACAAGGAAGUGACGGCUAACUACGUGCCAGCAGCCGCGGUAAAACGUAGGUCACAAGCGUUGUCCGGAAUUACUGGGUGUAAAGGGAGCGCAGGCGGGAAGACAAGUUGGAAGUGAAAUCUAUGGGCUCAACCCAUAAACUGCUUUCAAAACUGUUUUUCUUGAGUAGUGCAGAGGUAGGCGGAAUUCCCGGUGUAGCGGUGGAAUGCGUAGAUAUCGGGAGGAACACCAGUGGCGAAGGCGGCCUACUGGGCACCAACUGACGCUGAGGCUCGAAAGUGUGGGUAGCAAACAGAAUUAGAUACCCUGGUAGUCCACACCGUAAACGAUGAUUACUAGGUGUUGGAGGAUUGACCCCUUCAGUGCCGCAGUUAACACAAUAAGUAAUCCACCUGGGGAGUACGACCGCAAGGUUGAAACUCAAAGGAAUUGACGGGGGCCCGCACAAGCAGUGGAGUAUGUGGUUUAAUUCGACGCAACGCGAAAAACCUUACCAAGUCUUGACAUCCCUUGACAGACAUAGAAAUAUGUAAUCUCUUCGGAGCAAGGAGACAGGUGGUGCAUGGUUGUCGUCAGCUCGUGUCGUGAGAUGUUGGGUUAAGUCCCGCAACGAGCGCAACCCUUAUGGUCAGUUACUACGCAAGAGGACUCUGGCCAGACUGCCGUUGACAAAACGGAGGAAGGUGGGGAUGACGUCAAAUCAUCAUGCCCUUUAUGACUUGGGCUACACACGUACUACAAUGGCGUUAAACAAAGAGAAGCAAGACCGCGAGGUGGAGCAAAACUCAGAAACAACGUCCCAGUUCGGACUGCAGGCUGCAACUCGCCUGCACGAAGUCGGAAUUGCUAGUAAUCGUGGAUCAGCAUGCCACGGUGAAUACGUUCCCGGGCCUUGCACA